AAUCCGUAGACUCUUCAAAGCGAAUAAAUUUUUCGCCUUUUACUAAAGAUUUCCGUGGAGAGGGUCAACAUAAAUGGGUAUGCU